AGGUCUUACACAUGCAAGUCGAGCGGGAUUAGUCAGCUUGCUGACUAUGAGAGCGGCGCACGGGUGAGUACGCGUAUGCAACCUGCCUUACACAGGGGGAUAGCCCGGAGAAAUUCGGAUUAAUACCGCAUAAUAAUGAGUAUCUGCAUGGAUAUUUAUUUAACAGCUACGGCGGUGUAAGAUGGGCAUGCGUAACAUUAGCUGGUUGGUGAGGUAACGGCUCACCAAGGGCGAUGAUGUUUAGGGGGUCUGAGAGGAUAGUCCCCCACACUGGUACUGAGACACGGACCAGACUCCUACGGGAGGCAGCAGUGAGGAAUAUUGGUCCAUGGGCGCCAGCCUGAACCAGCCAUGUCGCGUGCAGGAUGACUGCCCUAUGGGUUGUAAACUGCUUUUUUACAGGAAUAAUUGCAUCUACGUGUAGGUGUUUGAAGGUACUGUAGGAAUAAGGAUCGGCUAACUCCGUGCCAGCAGCCGCGGUAAUACGGAGGAUUCGA
rnacentral:rRNA from 1 species